rnacentral:rRNA from 1 species
GAUGAACGCUGGCGGCGUGCCUAAUACAUGCAAGUCGAGCGAACGGACGAGGAGCUUGCUUCUCUGAUGUUAGCGUCGCACGGGUGAGUAACACGUGGAUAACCUACCUAUAAAACUGGGAUCACUUCGGGAAACCGGAGCUAAUACCGGAUAAUAUUUUGAACAGCAUGGUUCAAAAGUGAAAGACGGUCUUGCGGUAACUUAUAGAUGGAUCCGCGGUGCAUUAGCUAGGUGGUAAGGUAACGGCUUACCAAGGCAACGAUGCAUAGCCAACCUGAAAGGGAGAUCGGCCACACUGGAACUGAGACACGGCCCAGACACCUAAGGGAGGCAGCAGUCGGGAAUCUUCCGCAAUGGGCGAAAGCCUGACGGAGCAACGCCGCGUGAGUGCUGAAGGUCUUCGGAUCGUAAAACUAUGUUAUUAGGGAAGAACAUAUGUGUAAGUAAAUGUGCACAUCUUGACGGUACCUAAUCAGAAAGCCACGGCUAACUACGUG